UAUAAGACUGGGAUAACUUCGGGAAACCGGGGCUAAUGCCGGAUAAUAUUUAGAACCGCAUGGUUCUAAAGUGAAAGAUGGUUUUGCUAUCACUUAUAGAUGGACCCGCGCCGUAUUAGCUAGUUGGUGGGGUAAUGGCUCACCAAGGCAACGAUACGUAGCCGACCUGAGAGGGUGAUCGGCCACACUGGAACUGAGACACGGUCCAGACUCCUACGGGAGGCAGCAGUAGGGAAUCUUCCGCAAUGGGCGAAAGCCUGACGGAGCAACGCCGCGUGAGUGAUGAAGGUCUUCGGAUCGUAAAACUCUGUUAUUAGGGAAGAACAAAUGUGUAAGUAACUGUGCACGUCUUGACGGUACCUAAUCAGAAAGCCACGGCUAACUACGUGCCAGCAGCCGCGGUAAUACGUAGGUGGCAAGCGUUAUCCGGAAUUAUUGGGCGUAAAGCGCGCGUAGGCGGUUUCUUAAGUCUGAUGUGAAAGCCCACGGCUCAACCGUGGAGGGUCAUUGGAAACUGGGAAACUUGAGUGCAGAAGAGGAAAGUGGAAUUCCAUGUGUAGCGGUGAAAUGCGCAGAGAUAUGGAGGAACACCAGUGGCGAAGGCGACUUUCUGGUCUGUAACUGACGCUGAUGUGCGAAAGCGUGGGGAUCAAACAGGAUUAGAUACCCUGGUAGUCCACGCCGUAAACGAUGAGUGCUAAGUGUUAGGGGGUUUCCGCCCCUUAGUGCUGCAGCUAACGCAUUAAGCACUCCGCCUGGGGAGUACGACCGCAAGGUUGAAACUC
rnacentral:rRNA from 1 species